ACACACCUCAAUCUUCAGAUAGUGUCUCACAUAGUGACGCAUGUCAUGAAGCAAGGUGUUAUAUGGCAAGGCCGCACCUUCUAACUGCUUUCAGUCGUUCCUCAAAGUCAAGGUCGGUAGAAGUACUUUUUCUAUAGUUCCCAUCGAACCUGGAACUUACACCAGGUGUCUCUACAAGAAAAGUUCCGCAUAAGAGUAAUGAUGCACAAUCAAUGGC
rnacentral:lncRNA from 1 species